rnacentral:rRNA from 1 species
UACAGAGGUCUCGAGCGUUAGGCGGAAUCACUGGGCUUAAAGCGUGUGUAGGUGGAUUUGUAAGUACCUUGUGAAAUCCCAUGGCUCAACCAUGGAACUGCUCGGUAUACUGCGAAUCUUGAGCCACUUAGGGGCUACCGGAACAAAUGGUGGAGCGGUGAAAUGCGUAGAUAUCAUUUGGAACGCCAAUGGUGAAAACAGGUAGCUGGGAGUGUGCUGACACUGAGACACGAAAGCCAGGGGAGCGAACGGG